UUACGGUCCCCAGCACCAUAGCCAGAAGCACCCUUGUGAUUAUGCCGCUGCUUGUGGUGUAAGCCCCGAGGACCCAGCGUUCUGGCCAGACACGUGACUUCACACAGCCAACCUUCAAGGACAGUGUGCCUCAGCUGCCCUAACCACAGGCCCACGAUCUCGCUGGGGUUUCCAGAACGGUGUGCAUUCAUUCGGCUAUACAAACCGCAGGCCCGAGAUCCUGCAGGGCUUCCUCACGCCAUGCUUCUCCUUCUGCUUGCGCCACAGAUAUUUGCUGACUCCAUGUUCUGUGAAGAACCAGAGCCAGGC
rnacentral:lncRNA from 1 species